UAACAGGAAUCAGCUUGCUGAUUCGCUGACGAGUGGCGGACGGGUGAGUAAUGUCUGGGAAACUGCCUGAUGGAGGGGGAUAACUACUGGAAACGGUAGCUAAUACCGCAUAACGUCGCAAGACCAAAGAGGGGGACCUUCGGGCCUCUUGCCAUCGGAUGUGCCCAGAUGGGAUUAGCUAGUAGGUGGGGUAACGGCUCACCUAGGCGACGAUCCCUAGCUGGUCUGAGAGGAUGACCAGCCACACUGGAACUGAGACACGGUCCAGACUCCUACGGGAGGCAGCAGUGGGGAAUAUUGCACAAUGGGCGCAAGCCUGAUGCAGCCAUGCCGCGUGUAUGAAGAAGGCCUUCGGGUUGUAAAGUACUUUCAGCGGGGAGGAAGGGAGUAAAGUUAAUACCUUUGCUCAUUGACGUUACCCGCAGAAGAAGCACCGGCUAACUCCGUGCCAGCAGCCGCGGUAAUACGGAGGGUGCAAGCGUUAAUCGGAAUUACUGGGCGUAAAGCGCACGCAGGCGGUUUGUUAAGUCAGAUGUGAAAUCCCCGGGCUCAACCUGGGAACUGCAUCUGAUACUGGCAAGCUUGAGUCUCGUAGAGGGGGGUAGAAUUCCAGGUGUAGCGGUGAAAUGCGUAGAGAUCUGGAGGAAUACCGGUGGCGAAGGCGGCCCCCUGGACGAA
rnacentral:rRNA from 1 species